CCAGCCGCUAAACCCCCUAAUUUUCUUAGGUUGACCUCGGAUCAGGUAGGAAUACCCGCUGAACUUAA
rnacentral:rRNA from 1 species